rnacentral:lncRNA from 13 species
AUGAACAUCCACUAGCUACAUAUCACAGCACUGGGGAAGAUAGACAUCCACUAGGUACAUAUCACAGCACUGGGGAACGAAAGGUGUAAAUGUGAAGUUAAUUUCCUCCUGGAAACCAGUUAGUUCCAGUAUUAAGUCCACAUGNNNNNNNNNNNNNNNNNNNNNNNNNNNNNNNNNNNNNNNNNNNNGGGGUGGGACUGGGCUGGGGGUGGGACUGAGCUGGGACUGGGGCUGGGUGGGACUGAGCUGGGACUGGGGCUGGGUGGGACUGAGCUGGGACUGGGGCUGGGUGGGACUGGGUGGGACUGGGUGGGGCUGGGGGUGGGACUGGGCUGCACAGCAACAUUUGAUUGGUAAAACACACUGUGAUUGUUCAAUUUCACACUUUUUAAGUGUUUAUAUGAGAACCACCAGAAAGUGUUGAAUUUACGCUUUUCAAAGUGUUGCCCUUUUAACACUGGUACUUUCCAACACCAGUGGCAUUACAGUGUUACACUAGCUCACUGUUAUGGUGAUCACUGAUACGUCACAGCANNNNNNNNNNGAGUAAUGACUGGGUUUGGCCUGUCGCUGACUGACAGGGAGACAGAGUAAUGACUGGGUUUGGCCUGUCGCUGACUGACAGGGAGACAGAGUAAUGACUGGGUUUGGCCUGUCGCUGACUGACAGGGAGACAGAGUAAUGACUGGGUUUGGCCUGUCGCUGACUGACAGGGAGACAGAGUAAUGACUGGGUUUGGCCUGUCGCUGACUGACAGGGAGACAGAGUAAUGACUGGGUUUGGCCUGUCGCUGACUGACAGGGAGACAGAGUAAUGACUGGGUUUGGCCUGUCGCUGACUGACAGGGAGACAGAGUAAUGACUGGGUUUGGCCUGUCGCUGACUGACAGGGAGACAGAGUAAUGACUGGGUUUGGCCUGUCGCUGACUGACAGGGAGACAGAGUAAUGACUGGGUUUGGCCUGUCGCUGACUGACAGGGAGACAACUCCUCCAGCGGAUCAGGGGUCAGUGAAAUACUAUAAAUGUCUUGUCCUUUUUUUUUGUGCAGUCAAAAAUCUUCACCAGGACUCCAACACUCUAUCUGGACUUCAAGCUGGAUGUAGGAGCCAAGCAUGUACAACCAGUUCCUUCAGGAUGGACCUCGUUUAUCUACACACUGGCAGGAUCUGUCUGUGUCGGUGAGUUUCCUCCAUUUAGUUUCUGUUGAACAGUUUUCCAUUAGUUCCUAACUGCCCUGCAGCCUCAUGUUGAUGGUCACCCAGAACAGUGUUGUGUUUGGUGGUUCGGAAACACUCUGCAUCUUGUUGCUGUCCC